CCCUUAGACGUUCUGGGCCGCACGCGCGCUACACUGACCAGUGCAACAAGCAUCCGUCCUUGGCCGACAGGCCCGGGCAAUCUUUGAACGCUGGUCGUGAUGGGGAUAGACUUUUGCAAUUUUUGGUCUUCAACGAGGAAUUCCUAGUAAACGCAAGUUAUCAACUUGCAUUGAUUACGUCCCUGCCCUUUGUACACACCGCCCGUCGCACCUACCGAUUGAAUGGUCCGGUGAAGCCUCCGGAUUGGCGCGCACCUCGGUGCCGCCGAGAAGUUGGCUAAACCUUACCAUUUAGAGGAAGGUGAAGUCGUAACA
rnacentral:rRNA from 1 species